GAUGAACGCUGGCGGCGUGCUUAACACAUGCAAGUCGAACGAAGCUGUUAAAAGGAAGUUUUCGGAUGGAAUUUUAACAGACUUAGUGGCGGACGGGUGAGUAACGCGUGGAUAACCUGCCUUAUACAGGGGGAUAACGGAGAGAAAUUUCCGCUAAGACCGCAUAAGACCACAGCACCGCAUGGUGCAGGGGUAAAAUAUUAAUAGGUAUAAGAUGGAUCCGCGUCCGACUAGCUUGUUGGUGAGGUAGAGGCUCACCAAGGCGACGAUCGGUAGCCGGCCUGAGAGGGUGAACGGCCACAUUGGGACUGAGACACGGCCCAAACUCCUACGGGAGGCAGCAGUGGGGAAUAUUGGACAAUGGGGGAAACCCUGAUCCAGCGACGCCGCGUGAGUGAAGAAGUAUUUCGGUAUGUAAAGCUCUAUCAGCAGGGAAGAAAAUGACGGACCUGA
rnacentral:rRNA from 1 species